AUAAAUUAUAUACGUAACAUAUUUUGCUUACCUUUUUAAUAUUUUUAUUUUCAUUUUUUUUUAGUUGACUUGGAUUGGGAAAAGGGUUAGAGUUAAAUUAUUUAGCCUAUAAAUAUAUAGCUAUAGGUUGUAAAAGGGGGUUAGAAAUAUUCACGUGAUAUAUACUAGAGAGAUAGUGUUAGAGAGGGAAGGAAGAAAAGGAAGGAAUGAGGAGAAAAAAAUCAUGUAGAGAGAAGAUCAAGGAAGAAGAAGUUUAACUUUCGAUCCGAAAGUUUAAGGUGUUCGUCACGAGUAGAGGUUGUUCGUGCUGAGCGGGGAUCAGUCUACUUCAUUUUUCCGAUGCUACAUAGGAGUUCCUUUAUAAUUCAGUUUCCUGUUUUAGAUUACUGUCAUUUGUUUAGUUUGGAUUUUCUAGGGGUCCACACAGUAUGGAUUCCCGAGUUGUAUUUUGGAGGAUCAGUUGUAUCAGAAGAGUUUAUUAAUUAAUGGAAAUAUAUUAUGAGGUUUAUUAUUAAA